UGCUGUGUUCCUGGCCCUGGCUUGUUCAGCCGACCCGGCUUCAUUGGUCCUCCUGGUGCCUGAGUAAUCAGGAGAAGCCUUGGCAUGUGAAACUUAGAGGCCAAAGCUAAUGCAAAGUAGAGAACCUGGCGUUUUGUGAGGCAAACGGGGUGUGGAGUUUCUAAAUUUGGUAUCCAGUAGUUGCCAAAAAGUUCCAAAGUCCUGAAGAGGCCACGGAGGUGUUCCUAGACAGACCACUGGACUUGCGCUCUGGCCCACAGGUUUCUUAACUGUGGGAAUAGGGGGUGCCCAGUGCAGUUCCAGGGUCUUCCUUCCCAGUUCUCCUCCCAAGCAAUGGCUUUCUCCUGGCUUUGAUUCUAAAUAGCAAAUUAUUUUUCCUUUCUUGUUUGGGAACAGUCUUUGUUUCAGUUCAAAACUUAUUCAUUUGGCUUGGCUCGUGAGAGGAAUGUUUUUCAAAUUUAUGUCCAUUUAUUUCAUGUUUCACUGCUGGUUUUCACAAGCUUGGGCGACACAUUGCAAGCACCCCACUUUUCCCCCGCAGCAUUGCUCUCCUGAGCGUUUAGUGACCUCCUGUUCCUUGGGAUUUCUUGUAGCAUAUUUGUCCUCAGCAGUAACUUCACUAUUGGUUUCAUAGCCCCAUCUCAGGCUCUGGGACAGCGACAGGUGCCAAUAUACAGUCUGACCAGGUAGCUUCUUUCACGGUGGCAUUUCAAAAUGUUUCUGCUUUUUCUCCCUGGGUGGAUUUAUGUCCUAAAGCAGUUGACAGGGCUGCUUCCCUCCUACCCGUUUUUUUCUAGUGUGUCUUGUUUGCGGAUCCAGCCCAGAUCCUCACACAAGUACUGUCCACCGAGCCACAAUUCACCCAACACCCCUCCUUUUGGGUAGAAGUAGCUAACAUAAAACAUCAGUGCUUAGAUUAAGUUACUAGUUUAGCACUCUAGGCUGCCCUUGGAGAAUGGAGAGAAGCAAAGUGGCUUUCUUUUACUUUUUUCUUAAUGGAAGUAGACAUGUGCAUGCUACUGCUCAUGUGUGGAAGAGCUUUCAAAAGUUGGUUUUCUCCUACUGUGUGGGUUCCACAGCUGAAACUCAUGACAUCAUGCUCGGCAGUAAGUGGCUUUAUCUCCUGAGCCAUCUCCGAGCCUUCAUUUGGUUUCAGACAAAACCUCAUGUAUCUCAAGCUGAUUUCUAGUUCCCUGUGUAGCCCAGGAUAACUCCAAACUUCUUGUCCUCCUUUGUGUAACUCUGCAUGUUGGUGUACCGACCAUCUCUAGUUGGGCUUUCUCCUGUCGUUUUAAUGUGAUUUGGGGGAUGAAGCCCAAGGCUUUGUGUGUGCAAGCAUGCUACCAACUGAGCUACAUUUCCAGGCCUCAAGUGGUUUUACUCUUUUGUGUGUUUGUUGUCGGGGAGGGUUUGAGACAGGGUUUCUCUGUAUUCCUGGCUGUCUUGGAAAGCAGCUGUAGACCAGGCUAGCCUCAAAUUCAGAGAUCCUCCUGCCUGUGCCUCCCAAGUGCUGGAAUUAAAGGGGUUUGCUGCCUUCACCCAGCUCUUUGUUUUUAAAGACUUAAUUUUAUUUUGUAUUUGUCUGUGUAUGGGUGUGGUUAUGUGCACAUGAGUACAGGUGCUUUGGAGCUGGAGUUAUGGGUGUUUGUAAGCUGUCUAAUGUGGGUCCUGAGAAGGGAAUUCAAGUACUCUGGAAGAGGAGCAAGUGUCUUUUAGCUGCUGAGUGGGAAUGGGUUCAUCUGCAUGUAUUACCUCAGAUUUGCUUGUUUUCCUGGUACAGCAGAGAGAGAGAAAGAGAUAUGUUCAAAAGCUUAGCACUGCCAGGAGGAGCCUACCAGGAAAAGGGCUGUUGCUGCAGGCUCCACUUUCUAGGCCUUGUUAGAUCUGUUAACAGUUACCACAUGGCUCUGUCCCUCCUGAAGGAGAUGCCACUUUUCAACCCCAGGAAAACAUGCUAUUGUUUGUGAUAGUUGUUUAUCGUUUUCCAUAUAUUCUGGUCUGUGGCUGCUGUACUCCUGCUGCAUGGGAAGAAGUAAAUUCAUGAACACAAAUGUUUGGGUUAAGACAGGGUACCAGCAACACAUGCCAGUGCCCUCCACUGUGAAGUGGAAAGGGGUGGUGCUGCCUGACCGCUUACGCUUAGUUCUGGAGACCUGAGUCUGCACUGAGUUGGUAGAGCCUCCUUCAGGUCUGGGGAACUGUUCCCCCACCAGAUGGGUUCUGUGAACCCAUUCCUUAGAACUUUCCAGAAUCAGCACACUUCCCUAUGCCUCUGCUAGCCUGGGCAUCAUUUAUGUGUAGAAAUGAGGUAGGCAUAGGUAAAUACUAAAACCUGGACAUUGUGGGUCACAGUAGUGAUGUUUUCUUGGUACAUAGAGCAACACCCUGUCUCAAAAAACAAGUUGACAAAAAGCUUGAAACUUUUUUCCAACCUAGUAUUAACUAAUGAAGUUAAACAUUUCCCCAUUGCUCUAACUAAUUUUCCUUCUUUUUCUUUUUUUCUCUCGUGUCCUUUUCUUCUUUCAUUCCUUUUGUAACUCAGAUUGCAGUCCUAUCUCUGCAAGCUGAGUGCUUGGAUUUUGUUGUGACCAACACACAUGACUUCAUUUUUUAUUUACUGUUUCCACAUAUAUUUGGAGUUCACAUGAAAUUGUAUGUAUUAAGUUUCUUGUGCUGGCUCUCAGUGUGUGUGCAUGUUGUAUGUGUGUACGCUCACACAUGUGUUUAUCAACAUCUCGAGGUCUUGCUACUUUCAUAAGUUCUAUAGGCAUACUCCGUGAUGGUGAUCAGCGCUUCUUCCGGGUUAGCUAGGGCUACUCAACAGCAAAAAAUGCCAACAGGUUUAGCCAAGUGUACCUGCCUCCACCAGCUGCCUCAGCAUCUGCCAACCUUGCUGUGCCCAAUAGCUUUCACUUCACUUUCCAGACCUUGCUUGGAAGAGUCAACUAGAGCAAGGCUGGGGACAAAAGGCUGCAACCUGUUACAAAAAAAGAAAAAGAAAAGGAAAGGAAAGGAAAAGAAAUAAAAAGAUUGCUGAUUCAGUCCUAGCAACUUGAAUUCAACCCCAGGGACCCUCAAAGUAAAAGGAGAAAAUGGAUUUGUAAGUUGUCAUUGGACCUCCAUAAGUAAAUAAAUGUAUCUCUUUGUAAAUUUUUUUCUUUUUAGGUUUAUUUAUUUGUUGUUUUGUUUUGUUUUGUUUUUUUGAGGCAGGGUUUCUCUGUGUAGCCCUAGCUGUUCUAGAAUUCACUCUAUAGACCAUUCUGGCCUCGAACUCAGAGACCUGCCUGCCUCUGCCUCCCAAAUGCUGGACUUAAAGGUGUAGGCCACUACCACCCAGCUUAUUUUUUUAUUUUUUGAGACACAGUUCUCUCUGUGUAGAUCUCUGUCCUGGAGCUCAAUGCCUUAAAGUCUUAUAUAAAUGAGGCAUGCUUUUUUUUUUUUUUUUUUUUUGUAGCCCUGGCUGUCCUUGAACUUGCUGUGUAGUCCAUGCUGUUCUCAAACUCAGAGAUCUGCCUGCCUCUGCCUCCCAAGUGCUGGAAUUAAAGACCACCGCCUGUCUGUUUUUUAUUUUUUGAAACAGGGUUUCACUAUGUAGCCUUGACUGGCCUGCAACUCACUAUGUAGACUAGGCUAUCUGUGAACUUAAAGAGAACCACCUGCUUCUUCCUCCCAGUGCUAAAGGCAUUCUCCCACAUCAGAAAAUGUAAUAAUAAAAAAUAAAUAAAAAGAAAGAGGCUUGGGGCGGGGACAGAUGACUCAGGGUUAAUAUGCUGUUGCUCUUUUAGAGGAAAUGGGUUUGUUUCCCUGAGCACCUACAUGGCUGCUAACAUUUGGAAACCCCAGUUCCAGAGGAGGCAACACCCUCUUCAGAUCUCUGUGGGAACUGUAUGCCCAUAAUAAAUAAGUAAAUCUUAGUCUGUCUGUUUUCUUUCUUUAUCUAUUUGUGCAUUGAGUGCUCUAUCUGCAUGUACGUCUACCCACCAGAAGAGGACAUCAGAGUUCAGUAUAUAGGUUGUGAGCCACCAUGUGGCUGCUGGGAAUUGAACUCAGGACCUCUAGAAGAGCAGACAGUGCUUUUACCAGCUGAGCCAUCUCUCCAGCCCUGUCUGUUUUCUUAAAGACUACAACAGUGGAUUGGAACCUGAGAGCCGGAUGGUAGCCACUCUGUCUCGCCUUGAGAAACUAAUUAGCAAUCCAACCUUAAUGGGCACAAAGUCCGGUGAUGUCCAUGUUCUUGAUCCUCUGCACUUUCAUUCUGGCCGUGAUACAGGGUCUUCCUUUCCUCCCCUGUGAAAUAGCACCAUAGUGCUAAAACCCACAGAAUCUGUUUGCUUGGCAGAAUGGGCUUGAACUCUGCCUCCUAUGUUUUGUUCACAUCUGUCUCCAGCAAACACAAAGCCAGAGUCUGGGAGACCAAACAGUCUGUGUAGUCCAGCUUCUGGGACAAAGGUCGAAUGUACCAGGGUCUGUGUAAUCUAAUGGCCAGGACAAGGCCCUGGCCACACUCUGUUGGUGAUGCCCUCAGUCACUAACUUCAGAGGUGCCUCUGGCCCGUGAUAUGUGGUGUGCUACAGCCCCACCUUGUCCUAGUCAUCUGCCCUGUGGUGAUGAGGUGAAUUUGGGCUUUCACACUAGAGCAGAGCAGAUCUGUGUUGCUGCCUACCACAUCCAGAGCAGAGCCCAGGAAGCCUUCAAAUGCCAGUGUGGACACUUGCUCCCAGCACAUAGUUUUUGGUGAUAAUUGGCAUUUUGACAAACCACCCACUCUGUUAGUAAUGACCUAACAAGGCGCUGUAUGGAAGGCCGGCACAGGGCACAGAAACUCCGACAGGCCAUGGUCAGGGCCAGGCAGCUACUCUUCUAGUUUUUAAAAUGACAUUUGUUUACCUAGUUUUUUUGUAUAGGGAUAGGUUCAGAUGUACAUAUCAUGUCUGUGGAGGUCAAAGGAGUUGAUUUUCUCUUCCAUAGUGUGGGUUCGAGGGAUGGAGCCCAGACCCUCACACUUGAAUGUGGAUGUUUGAGAGUGAGUUGAACCCAUGGAGGCAUCUGGAAUGGAGAGAAAAUGAGCUAUAUAGUGAGGCCCUGUCCCAAAAGAGGAAAGACUGUUAGUAUAUGUAUGUGUUUUCAUUUUCUUAGCAGUGUCAUAUAAAAGGUAAAGUGAGUGUGGCCGCAUAGGCCUGUUGUCCUCGUUACUCAGGAGGACAAGAGAAAGACUGCCAGGGUUGAUCCCAGGACUCCAGAGACAGGUCAGACAGAACAGACAGGGUUACACAGAGAAAACUUGUCUCCAAAAAAAGAAUACACACACACACACAAACACAUGCGAUAGGUUGGGAGUACAGUUCAGUGGUAGAGUGCUUCCGUAGCAAGUGUAAGGCCCUAGGUUUAAUCCCUAACAACACAGAGCGGAAGAUCUUAAAGGUCAUGAUUUAUUUUUCUAACACUUCUCUUUUUGUUUUGUUUUGAGACAGGGUUUCUCUGUGUAGCCCUGGCUGUCCUGAAUCUCACUCUGUAGACCAGGCUGGCCUUGAACUUACAGAGAUCCACUUGCCUGUGCCUCCUGAGCACUGGGAUCAAAGGUGUGCGCCACCUCACCCAGCUUUCCUAACAGUUCUAAAACAUAGUUUGAUCCUACACAUUUGUAAUCUAUUUUGAGUUAAUAUUUGUGAUAAGAGGAAAUAGUUCAGUUUUCAGACUUUUUCACUGGCUGUCCAUCUGUUUAACACUACUUGAAGGUUCUCUCUUUGUUGAAUCACCUCAGCACCUUUGUCAAGACCCUAUGGCUAGGCUAGGGUGUAGCUCAGAGAGUAGCAUGCACUCAAAACAACACACAAAGAUGUUUCUGGACAAUUUGUUCUGUUGUUUGAUACUGGAGUUGAGCACAGUGCUGCUGCUGGGCCUCAGCCUUUUAGACUUUGAGACAGUUUGUUGCUCAGGUAAGACUUGAACCUGUCAUUGUCCUCCUUCUGUCUCUCAAGCAACUAGGACUCCAGAUCUGUGCCACCAGCCCCAGCUGUCUGUGUCUUUGGUUUCAUUGCUAUAUAGACCUAACUGGCCUCAAAUUUGCAGUGGCCUUCUUGUGCCUCUGCCUCUCAAAUCCUUAUUCUGAUUUAUUUGAUUUAAGUAAGUGGGACAUAGAAAUUGUCUUGUUUAAAAAAAAAAAAGUAAAUAGCUAAUUAAAGCUCCUCUGGUGAUUAUAAACUGUAAGAAUCAGCUUAUGGUGUUGGAGAGAUGGCUCAGUGGUUAAGAGCAGCGUCUGCUCUUCCUAAAAGGACCCAGGUUCAAUUCCCAGCACCCACAUGGCAGCUCACAACUGUCUGUAACCCCAAUUCCAAUGGAUCUGACACCUUCACACAUAAAAUUAAAUAAAUGAUUUAAAAAAAAAAAAGAAUCAGCUUAUUUCCUCACGGGCCUUAGAAUGGCCUCCAUAGGCUUAUCCAUAGUAGAUUUUUCUUCUGCUUUCCCUGCCAUGGUCACACAUGUCUUAGUUAUUUGUGCUACUGUAACAGCAUCACAGACUGGGUGGUUUGAAGUGAUUUACUGGAGACUGAAAUCAACUCACCGAUGGAGAACUCUACCCUAGCACCCUGUGCUACUCAAACUGGGCAGGUCUGAGUGGAGGGAGCUCUCUGAUAGCUCUUCAAAGGGCACUAAUGAGCUGGCCAGUGGGCAGAAAUGGGCAGAGUUCCAGGACAGCCAGGGCUAUUACGGGGAGAAACCCUGUGUUGGCAGCAGGGAGGCACUAAUGAACAUCAGGGCCCCACCCUGUGACUCAAGUCCUCAGAGGCCCUUCUCCAGAUACAGUGGUAGUUAGAGCUUCAUGAUAAGCUCAAGCAUGUUGAUUGGCCUGGAAGUGCAGGACUGUUACCCAAUCUACUUUGGAGGCUGAGGCAGAAAGAUCACAAGUUCAAGGCCUGUGUGGGUAACUGUCUCAAAAAAUAAAGCAGCUUGGGUUAUAUAGCUCAGUGGUAAAGUGAGGGGUGUCUUACAGGGAAGCAAACCACGUGAAGAGUUAAGAACGAAAACCUGACACAGAUUGACGUCCUUCAGGGAGUCUACAACAGGUGGUUUAUUCCCAAAUGUUAUUUAAGCCCAAUAUAAUUUGGAAAUAGUUUCCUGGUGUGGUACAAUCCCCCAGUGCACAAGGAAGCAGAAUUAUAUCAAACUCAACUCAGGAUAGUGUCAUUUCUUCCCAGAAUAUGGCUUCUAAAGAUAGGCUUCCUAUAACUAGCUUAAGGGCCUGAGGAUCCGGCCAUACAGAUAGUGUGGAGGCCGUUUGUGCUAUCAGCCAUCGCUGGUCUUGUUUGUAGGAACUCGAUAUAGCCUGGCCUAGCAGAUAAAAUAUCACCAGCUGUUAAUCACUUCCAAUUCUCAGCCUUCUGGAUAGAAUAACAGGUUUUUCAUCUUUCCUAUUGGAAGGAGAAUUUUGUGUGCUUACCAUUCCUGGUUUCUCUGGAGUUCUGUGGAUGCUGUACUCCCAACAUAGAGUACUUGCUUAGCAUGAUUGAGGCCUUGGUUCAGUCCCAUGACUGCUAGGGAGUUUGGGGGCCGUUUAGACCACAGCACUAUUUCAUCUGGGAUUUACACUAACUUACUUUCCCCUCCCCAACCCUGCAGACAGAAUUUCUCUAUGUAGACCAGGCUGGCCUCUAACUCAAGAGAUUUUCUUAUCCCUCCCCACCCCCCUUCCCUAGCACUGGAUCAAAGGUACUCAAAUUAGUAGGAAGGAGCUAGAGAGUUUAGUGUAGGGGGUGGGGUGAGCAGUGCUGAGAGGAGGCAUAGGUACUAAGACUUGACUCAGGUUUCUUUGGGACCUGACAAAAGUGAGUUCUAGGACAGCCUGAACUAUAGAAUGAAGACCUUGUCUCAAAAGAGAAAAAGGGGUCAAGAGUGCUCAUUGCUCUUGCAGAGGACCCAGGUUUGAUUCAUGGCACCCACACAGUGGCUCACAACGAUCUGUAACUCCAGUUCCAGGGGAUUCAAUGCCCUGUUUCUGACUUCGGUUCUUGCCAUGACUGCCUUCAGUGAUGGACUGUGACCUGGGAUCUCCAUUUUGAAGUUCUGGCUGUUCUGGAUUCUCUGUGUAGAUCAAGGCGACCUCAAACUCAGUGAUCCACCUGCCUCCUGGGUUCAUGGGCUUUCAUCACCAUGCCUAGCCUUCUUUGUUGUUUUGUUUUAAAGACAGGAGUCUAACUGUAGCCCUGGAUGGUCUGGAACUAACAGAUCUGAUUGCCACUGUGUCCCAAGAGAUGGUAUUAAAGACUUGUAUUCCCUCA